GGAAUAUUGCACGAUGGGGGAAACCCUGAUGCAGCAACGCCGCGUGAAGGAAGACGGUUUUCGGAUUGUAAACUUCUUUUCUUAGUGAAGAAGAAAGUGACGGUAGCUAAGGAAUAAGCAUCGGCUAACUACGUGCCAGCAGCCGCGGUAAUACGCAGGAUGCGAGCGUUAUCCGGAAUUAAUGGGUGUAGAGGGAGCGCAGGCUGGACUGCAAGUUGGAUGUGAGCUGCCGCAGCUUAACUGCGGAGCUGCAUCCAAAACUGUAGUUCUUGAGUGGAGUAGAGGCAAGCGGAAUUCCGAGUGUAGCGGUGAAAUGCGUAGAUAUUCGGAGGAACACCAGUGGCGAAGGCGGCUUGCUGGGCUCUAACUGACGCUGAGGCUCGAAAGUGUGGGGAGCAA
rnacentral:rRNA from 1 species